UGAAGAUGGAGGCCUGAAAUGGGGC
rnacentral:piRNA from 1 species